CCUAGGGGGGGCAGCAGUAGGGAAUCUUCGGCAAUGGACGGAAGUCUGACCGAGCAACGCCGCGUGAGUGAAGAAGGUUUUCGGAUCGUAAAGCUCUGUUGUAAGAGAAGAACGAGUGUGAGAGUGGAAAGUUCACACUGUGACGGUAUCUUACCAGAAAGGGACGGCUAACUACGUGCCAGCAGCCGCGGUAAUACGUAGGUCCCGAGCGUUGUCCGGAUUUAUUGGGCGUAAAGCGAGCGCAGGCGGUUAGAUAAGUCUGAAGUUAAAGGCUGUGGCUUAACCAUAGUAGGCUUUGGAAACUGUUUAACUUGAGUGCAAGAGGGGAGAGUGGAAUUCCAUGUGUAGCGGUGAAAUGCGUAGAUAUAUGGAGGAACACCGGUGGCGAAAGCGGCUCUCUGGCUUGUAACUGACGCUGAGGCUCGAAAGCGUGGGGAGCAAACAGGAUUAGAUACCCCUGUAGU
rnacentral:rRNA from 1 species